rnacentral:lncRNA from 10 species
AUAAAGGGUUUUGUCCACAGUUCUUCCCUCUCCCUCUGCCUCCUGAUCAACCCUGGUGUUUCCCUGUGGCCUCUUGUGGCACGGUGUGCCCCCUCCUCUUGGAAACUCAUCAAUUGCUCUACAAUUUGGAGAUAUCAGACGAACAGAGGGAAAAUGCAGUCAGUGGUCUAAAGCUGCCCCUUAGGAAAUCUAAGGCUAUAUCUGGUUCCAUAAAGUCUUUAAUCAGUCAGUCAGAACAACUGCAGCAUUCCUGCCGCUCAGAAUACCUUAAUGGCCUUAGUAGCUGAGGUCCUCACAGCACUGGCAAGAGCAACAUGGCAUUGGAAUGGGAGGACUGAAGCUUAAUGUAGAAAUUUCUUAAAAGAUCAUAUGUACCCAUGAAUGUUCUUUUUCCAGCAAGACGGAAGAAGCCAAAGACUCUCUGGUCAUUGCAGAAGGAAGAAUGAGAGCCCAAGCCUGAGGAAGAUAAAAUGAGAUGAUUUGGCUUAAUAUGAAUUAAGGCAGCUGCCAGUGGUUCUGUAAUGAGCAAACUGAUUAUUUUUUUAUGUAGCCUCUAUUCACAUUUUUAUGUUUGAUUUUGUCCUUUGAUUGUAAUGACAGGUUGUGGUUACACAUUAUUAAAGAUGAAUACUAAAGAAGCGACUAAAUAAAAAGGCAAGAAAUUGAGGAUGAUUGGUAUAAUCCCAGCAGGGAAGCAGAUGAGGAAAGGCAGAAGAUAAAGUUUUUUUUAUGUCUCUGCUACUGUGUGCUCCUCACCUACACAUGUUGGAAUAAACUUAGAAUAUUUCCUUUAUUCAAUGGUAUUGUUGUGCUAUUUUUCCAAUGAUCAGAAUCUGUGGAUGGUGAAGGGAAUGUUCAACUCUGCAAUCCUUCCAACAAGUAAAGCCAGUAAUUUCACUUAUUAACAUAUAUAUCCUAGGGAAAUUUUCCCCAUGGCAAGAAGAAACAGUAUGAGUAUGUUUGCUAUAGUUUAAAUGUCCUCUCCCAAACUCAAGCUAUUGAGAAUAUUCAUUUGGAGAUAAUACAUAUUAUC